UACGAAGGGGGCUAGCGUUGCUCGGAAUGACUGGGCGUAAAGGGCGCGUAGGCGGAUGGCACAGUCAGAUGUGAAAUUCCCGGGCUUAACCUGGGGGCUGCAUUUGAUACGUGUUGUCUUGAGUUCGGAAGAGGGUCGUGGAAUUCCCAGUGUAGAGGUGAAAUUCGUAGAUAUUCGCAAGAACACCAGUGGCGAAGGCGGCUCACUGGCCCGGUACUGACGCUGAGGCACGAAAGCGUGGGGAGCAAACAGG
rnacentral:rRNA from 1 species